UACGUAGGUGGCGAGCGUUGUCCGGAAUCACUGGGCGUAAAGGGCGCGUAGGCGGUUUAUCAAGUCGCAUGUGAAAUACCAGGGCUCAACUCUGGGGGGUCAUGCGAAACUGAUGGACUUGAGUGCAGUAGAGGGAAGCGGAAUUCCUGGUGUAGCGGUAAAAUGCGUAGAGAUCAGGAGGAACACCGGUGGCGAAGGCGGCUUCCUGGGCUGUAACUGACGCUGAGGCGCGAAAGCGUGAGGAGCAAACAGG
rnacentral:rRNA from 1 species